rnacentral:lncRNA from 1 species
GUGAUCAGAGGUAUAGCCAGCUCAUAAGAUUUUCUGGAAAUAACUUAAAGUCGCAAACUCGGAUCGGAAACCCCACGUUUUCCGGGCGCUCAGUUUUCACAUUUUCCCGCCGAGCGCUUUUUCACGUGGAUCGAGUCACGACUGGUCCUUUUCGAUCCCUUUUUUUUCACGAGAUCUUUUCCCCAGCUUUUCGCGGCGCCGAUCCUGCGGGUCUCGCCAGUCUCUGACACACCGCGGACCUCCCGCGCACCCACCACGAACAGAACACCAUGUCUGCCGCCACCACCGCCAUCACCGUGCGCCCCGUCCUCGCGGGCAAGCGCGUGUGCGAGGACUGCUUCAGGGGGAACGCGAAGGACAGGCCGAGCUUCCUCGAGAUUUAGAAACGGCUGAGACCGAUGCAGGCGAUGAUCACCAGGCCGGGUAGCGGCAACGGCGGCGCGGCGUUGGGGGGCUCUCCGGCUCAGUUCUCGGACUCAAAGCCGCCCGCGUCGCCGAGCGAACCGGAGAAGCCUCCGCGCGCUCCGCCGCCGAAGGACGAGUACCCCAUCCUCCC